CUACGGGACGCUCCAGUAAGGAAUAUUGCGCAAUGGAGGCAACUCUGACGCAGCCAUGCCGCGUGCAGGAAGAAGGCCUUAUGGGUCGUAAACUGCUUUUAUUUAGGAAUAAACCCCCGAACGUGUUCGGGGCUGAAGGUACUAAACGAAUAAGCACCGGCUAACUCCGUGCCAGCAGCCGCGGUAAUACGGAGGGUGCAAGCGUUAUCCGGAUUUAUUGGGUUUAAAGGGUGCGCAGGCGGGCUAUUAAGUCAGUGGUGAAAUCCCGGGGCUCAACUCCGGAACUGCCAUUGAUACUGAUAGUCUUGAGUUUGGUUGAAGUGGGCGGAAUGUAGCAUGUAGCGGUGAAAUGCAUAGAUAUGCUACAGAACACCAAUCGCGAAGGCAGCUCACUAAGCCAAAACUGACGCUCAUGCACGAAAGCGUGGGGAUCAAACAGGAUUAGAUACCCCCGUAGUC
rnacentral:rRNA from 1 species